rnacentral:rRNA from 1 species
GGUUAAGCGACUAAGCGUACACGGUGGAUGCCCUGGCAGUCAGAGGCGAUGAAGGACGUGCUAAUCUGCGAAAAGCGUCGGUAAGGUGAUAUGAACCGUUAUAACCGGCGAUGUCCGAAUGGGGAAACCCAGUGCAAUUCGUUGCACUAUCGUUAACUGAAUACAUAGGUUAACGAGGCGAACCGGGGGAACUGAAACAUCUAAGUACCCCGAGGAAAAGAAAUCAACCGAGAUUCCCCCAGUAGCGGCGAGCGAACGGGGAGCAGCCCAGAGUCUGAAUCAGCUUGUGUGUUAGUGGAACGGUCUGGAAAGUCCGACGGUACAGGGUGAUAGUCCCGUACACCAAAAUGCACAGGCUGUGAACUCGAAGAGUAGGGCGGGACACGUGGUAUCCUGUCUGAAUAUGGGGGGACCAUCCUCCAAGGCUAAAUACUCCUGACUGACCGAUAGUGAACCAGUACCGUGAGGGAAAGGCGAAAAGAACCCCGGCGAGGGGAGUGAAAAAGAACCUGAAACCGUGUACGUACAAGCAGUGGGAGCACCUUCGGGUGUGACUGCGUACCUUUUGUAUAAUGGGUCAGCGACUUAUAUUCUGUAGCAAGGUUAACCGUAUAGGGGAGCCGCAGGGAAACCGAGUCUUAACUGGGCGUUAAGUUGCAGGGUAUAGACCCGAAACCCGGUGAUCUAGCCAUGGGCAGGUUGAAGGUUGGGUAACACUAACUGGAGGACCGAACCGACUAAUGUUGAAAAAUUAGCGGAUGACUUGUGGCUGGGGGUGAAAGGCCAAUCA